CUUGAAAGCCUGGUCUAAUACCGGAAUACGAGCGCUACGCAUGUUGGUGUCGAAAGAUUAUCGUUUUGGAUGGACUCCGCGCCUAUCAGCUGUUGGUGAGGUAAUGGCUCACCAAGGCGACGACGGGUAGCCGGCCUGAGAGGGUGACCCGGCCACACUGGGACUGAGACACGGCCCAGACUCCUACGGGAGGCAGCAGUGGGGAAUAUUGCACAAUGGGCGCAAGCCUGAUGCAGCGACGCCGCGUGAGGGAUGACGGCCUUCGGGUUGUAAACCUCUUUCAGUAGGGAAGAAGCGAAAGUGACGGUACCUGCAGAAGAAGCACCGGCUAACUACGUGCCAGCAGCCGCGGUAAUACGUAGGGUGCGAGCGUUAUCCGGAAUUAUUGGGCGUAAAGAGCUCGUAGGCGGUUUGUCGCGUCUGUCGUGAAAGUCCGGGGCUUAACCCCGGAUCUGCGGUGGGUACGGGCAGACUAGAGUGCAGUAGGGGAGACUGGAAUUCCUGGUGUAGCGGUGGAAUGCGCAGAUAUCAGGAGGAACACCGAUGGCGAAGGCAGGUCUCUGGGCUGUAACUGACGCUGAGGAGCGAAAGCAUGGGGAGCGAACAGGAUUAGAUACCCUGGUAGUCCAUGCCGUAAACGUUGGGCACUAGGUGUGGGGACCAUUCCACGGUUUCCGCGCCGCAGCUAACGCAUUAAGUGCCCCGCCUGGGGAGUACGGCCGCAAGGCUAAAACUCAAAGGAAUUGACGGGGGCCCGCACAAGCGGCGGAGCAUGCGGAUUAAUUCGAUGCAACGCGAAGAACCUUACCAAGGCUUGACAUGUUCYCGAUCGCCGUAGAGAUACGGUUUCCCCUUUGGGGCGGGUUCACAGGUGGUGCAUGGUUGUCGUCAGCUCGUGUCGUGAGAUGUUGGGUUAAGUCCCGCAACGAGCGCAACCCUCGUUCCAUGUUGCCAGCACGUAAUGGUGGGGACUCAUGGGAGACUGCCGGGGUCAACUCGGAGGAAGGUGAGGACGACGUCAAAUCAUCAUGCCCCUUAUGUCUUGGGCUUCACGCAUGCUACAAUGGCCGGUACAAUGGGUUGCGAUACUGUGAGGUGGAGCUAAUCCCAAAAAGCCGGUCUCAGUUCGGAUUGGGGUCUGCAACUCGACCCCAUGAAGUCGGAGUCGCUAGUAAUCGCAG
rnacentral:rRNA from 1 species